rnacentral:rRNA from 1 species
UACGAAGGGGGCUAGCGUUGCUCGGAAUCACUGGGCGUAAAGCGCACGUAGGCGGAUUGCUAAGUCAGGGGUGAAAUCCUGGAGCUCAACUCCAGAACUGCCUUUGAUACUGGCGACCUUGAGUCCGGGAGAGGUGAGUGGAACUGCGAGUGUAGAGGUGAAAUUCGUAGAUAUUGGGAAGAACACCGGUGGCGAAGGCGGCGACCUGGUCCUUGACUGACGCUGAGGCGCGAAAGCGUGGGGAGCAAACAGG